GGAAGGUUCGCAUAAUGGUAUUGCAGCAGUCUUGAAAACUGCCGAGCGCAAGCUCAUGAGAGUUCGAGUCCCUCACCUUCCGCCA
rnacentral:tRNA from 2 species